GUUUAGAGCCAAUUGUGGGAUAACAACAUGGAACUGAUUCUUACCAGAAAGUGGCAAAGUGUAAACUUUGCUCAUCUAUCCUGUCUUGCAGGACUUCCUUGAGAGAGGCUGAAACUUUGCUUGGCAGACACUGAAUUUAUUUUUCCUGACUCUGUGAACACAUCUUUACACUCACCUGGGAUAUGUCCCACAGUCAAUGGUUCAGUGUGCUGUGACACAUCGCAAAUCUCUUUGAGAAUUACCAGCCCACACUUUAAAUUUAUUCCAGACUUGAAAUGUGAGUUACUAAUUUAAGGAUGCACCUGAGUGGGGUGUUGACAUACCUGGCUUAUUUCAACAAAUCAUCUUCUCUUUCCUGAGGAAAGUAUCCUGACACUGUGAUGAAAACAUGGGCCACAGAGCAGUGCGGAGUGUUAAGACCACACAACAGGACCAUUGUCAUGUACUGCCUCAUAAAAUGUACUGUUACAGGGUCACUUCUUCUCCUCCACACACCCUUCAACCAUGGAGUCUUGGUUGCUGUUUGUACACAUCAGCAAAUCACGGUACACUUGCCAUGAUUUUCCAUUCAUUAAUUUUAAUGACAGAUAAUAGUGGGAACCACAUCCAUGAGAUCCAGAUACAUUUCCCAAUGGGGGGAAACAGUGCCAGGAAUAUGCAUUUGAAAAAAUUGGCUACAUGUAUCUAUCUACUUAUUUUUCUCAUUAACUGAAUUUUCAGGUAAUAGACAGUUGUCACAUACAUACAACAAAGAAACAAAGACUGGAGAUUAAGGGCAUGAACUUGCCAGAAUGUUCCACAAAGUGAAAAGAAACAAGAUCUUGACAAUGUUAUAGCACUGCUGUCCAUACUUUGCUAUGUUAGCUUUGUUACACAAGUUUUCAAACUUUUUUUGUCUUGAACGCGUCAAGUACGGAAAAUUGAUAUUCCUAAAUUAAUUUUUUUUUAACUCUUUGCUAAACUGGCUGAAGAAAUUAGAUUAUUGUCUUUAACAAAAUGGAAAAAUAGUUGGAGCUGGUCCUGCUCUGCUUUUGUAUUUUUACUGGAAA